rnacentral:rRNA from 1 species
UACCAGCACCCCGAGUGGUCGGGACGAUUAUUGGGCCUAAAGCAUCCGUAGCCGGUCUUGCAAGUCUUCCGUUAAAUCCACCUGCUUAACAGAUGGGCUGCGGAGGAUACUAUAAGGCUAGGAGGCGGGAGAGGCAAGCGGUACUCAGUGGGUAGGGGUAAAAUCCUCUGAUCCAUUGAAGACCACCAGUGGCGAAGGCGGCUUGCCAGAACGCGCUCGACGGUGAGGGAUGAAAGCUGGGGGAGCAAACCG